rnacentral:tRNA from 1 species
UCUCUCGUAGCUCAGUGGCAGAGCUCGCGGCUUUUAACCGCGAAACACAAGUUCGAUUCUUGUCGGGAGAA